AGAGUGAACGCUGGCGGUAGGCCUAACACAUGCAAGUCGAACGGCAGCGCGGUAAGAGCUUGCUCUUAUGGGUGGCGAGUGGCGGACGGGUGAGGAAUACAUCGGAAUCUACCUUUUGGUGGGGGAUAACGUAGGGAAACUUACGCUAAUACCGCAUACGCCCUUCGGGGGAAAGCCGGGGACCAGCAAUGGCCUGGUGCUGAUAGAUGAGCCGAUGUCGGAUUAGCUAGUUGGUGAGGUAAUGGCUCACCAAGGCGACGAUCCGUAGCUGGUCUGAGAGGAUGAUCAGCCACACUGGAACUGAGACACGGUCCAGACU
rnacentral:rRNA from 1 species